AAUAGAUACCCCGGUAGUCCACGCCGUAAACGAUGGAUACUAGCUGUUUGAGCGCAAGUUUGAGUGGCUAAGCGAAAGUGAUAAGUAUCCCACCUGGGGAGUACGGGCGCAAGCCUGAAACUCAAAGGAAUUGACGGGGGCCCGCACAAGCGGUGGAGCAUGUGGUUUAAUUCGAUGAUACGCGAGGAACCUUACCAGGGCUUAAAUGUAGAUUGACGUAUUUGGAAACAGAUAUUUCUUCGGACAAUUUACAAGGUGCUGCAUGGUUGUCGUCAGCUCGUGCCGUGAGGUGUCAGGUUAAGUCCUAUAACGAGCGCAACCCCUGUUGUUAGUUGCCAGCGAGUAAUGUCGGGAACUCUAGCAAGACUGCCAGUGUAAACUGUGAGGAAGGUGGGGAUGACGUCAAAUCAUCACGGCCCUUACGUCCUGGGCCACACACGUGCUACAAUGGCCGGUACAGAGAGCAGCCACUUAGCGAUAAGGAGCGAAUCUAUAAAGCCGGUCACAGUUCGGAUCGGAGU
rnacentral:rRNA from 1 species